UAAAGCUUGUUGGCAGCAUAAAAGGGGCUUCUAACCUUUUUUAGGGCAGUUCGAUUCUGUCCGCUUUAU
rnacentral:tRNA from 1 species